rnacentral:rRNA from 1 species
CGGUGUUUAACUGGCGUGAUGUGGGACGUCCUACCGGUGGGCUUAGCCUCGCGAGGGGCGGCCCAACUAAUAUCCCGUCGCGGUGCUCUUUACUGAGUGUCGAGUCGGGCCGGUACGUUUACUUUGAACAAAUUAGAGUGCUUAAAGCAGGCUAUCCUCGCCUGAAUACUGCGUGCAUGGAAUAAUGGAAUAGGACCUCGGUUCUAUUUUGUUGGUUUUCGGAACCCCGAGGUAAUGAUUAAUAGGGACAGAUGGGGGCAUUCGUAUUGCGACGUUAGAGGUGAAAUUCUUGGAUCGUCGCAAGACGGACAGAAGCGAAAGCAUUUGCCAAAAAUGUUUUCAUUAAUCAAGAACGAAAGUUAGAGGUUCGAAGGCGAUCAGAUACCGCCCUAGUUCUAACCAUAAACGAUGCCAGCUAGCGAUCCGCCGAAGUUCCUCCGAUGACUCGGCGGGCAGCUUCCGGGAAACCAAAGCUUUUGGGUUCCGGGGGAAGUAUGGUUGCAAAGCUGAAACUUAAAGGAAUUGACGGAAGGGCACCACCAGGAGUGGAGCCUGCGGCUUAAUUUGACUCAACACGGGGAACCUCACCAGGCCCAGACACCGGAAGGAUUGACAGAUUGAUAGCUCUUUCUUGAUUCGGUGGGUGGUGGUGCAUGGCCGUUCUUAGUUGGUGGAGCGAUUUGUCUGGUUAAUUCCGAUAACGAACGAGACUCUAGCCUGCUAAAUAGGCGUACCUUAUGGUAUCGCGAAGGCCCCCGGCUUCGGCCGGUGGGUUUUUACUACCAACGUACAAACAAAUCUUCUUAGAGGGACAGGCGG